AUUGAACGCUGGCGGCAGGCCUAACACAUGCAAGUCGAGCGGAUGAAGGGAGCUUGCUCCUGGAUUCAGCGGCGGACGGGUGAGUAAUGCCUAGGAAUCUGCCUGGUAGUGGGGGAUAACGUCCGGAAACGGGCGCUAAUACCGCAUACGUCCUGAGGGAGAAAGUGGGGGAUCUUCGGACCUCACGCUAUCAGAUGAGCCUAGGUCAGAUUAGCUAGUUGGUGGGGUAAAGGCCUACCAAGGCGACGAUCCGUAACUGGUCUGAGAGGAUGAUCAGUCACACUGGGACUGAGACACGGUCCAGACUCCUACGGGAGGCAGCAGUGGGGAAUAUUGGACAAUGGGCGAAAGCCUGAUCCAGCCAUGCCGCGUGUGUGAAGAAGGUCUUCGGAUUGUAAAGCACUUUAAGUUGGGAGGAAGGGCAGUAAGUUAAUACCUUGCUGUUUUGACGUUACCAACAGAAUAAGCACCGGCUAACUUCGUG
rnacentral:rRNA from 1 species